GACGAACGCUGGCGGCGUGCUUAACACAUGCAAGUCGAACGGAAAGGCCCUGCUUUUGUGGGGUGCUCGAGUGGCGAACGGGUGAGUAACACGUGAGUAACCUGCCCUUGACCUUGGGAUAACUUCAGGAAACUGGGGCUAAUACCGGAUAGGAGCUCCUGCUGCAUGGUGGGGGUUGGAAAGUUUCGGCGGUUGGGGAUGGACUCGCGGCUUAUCAGCUUGUUGGUGGGGUAGUGGCUUACCAAGGCUUUGACGGGUAGCCGGCCUGAGAGGGUGACCGGCCACAUUGGGACUGAGAUACGGCCCAGACUCCUACGGGAGGCAGCAGUGGGGAAUAUUGCACAAUGGGCGGAAGCCUGAUGCAGCAACGCCGCGUGCGGGAUGACGGCCUUCGGUUUGUAAACCGCUUUCGCCUGUGACGAAGCGUGAGUGACGGUAAUGGGUAAAGAAGCACCGGCUAACUACGUG
rnacentral:rRNA from 1 species